CGGAGACACUGCCCGCCGGGCGUCUGGGUCUUCCCGCGUGCGAGGGGUCCGGACUCGCGGCUCGCUGCCGGCGCUCAGGUGUGAGGAAUGCCUGAAAAAAAUCAUAAACUUUUGCAAAUGGAUAGAAGCUAAGGAGCAGUAAUUUUCCGUGGAACGCACGAAUUUAAAUGGACGCUUUGGCAGAUACACCUCUGUGCCGCUUUGGGACUACAUCGGUGUUGAUUCCGUCUAUAUUGGUCAUUUUUUAAGGGCUUUGAGCUUUACCGAUAUAUAGUGAAAUGUUGAUUUAUUGAAAUUCAGAGCAAUAAUAUCCUUGCUGCGUAAACUGCACGAGUCUUUAAUCUCCAGAUGUUUUCAAUUAGCCCCAUCUCAGGUCCCUUCACAGCAACAAAAAAACAAUAUAUGUAGUCGUUUAACUUUAAAAUACAACCCUACCCAUGGUGCAAAAUAUCGAGAAUAUCUGGGAAACAUUUUAUCAUAUUUCAGAAGGCCAACUUAAAGAAUCAUUACUGGGAAAGCUGACUCAAUUUUCUGUAUUAUAGAAGAUAUUUGGUUCUAAAUACUAUUUUAAUACGAAAAUUAUUUAUUCAUUUGAAAAUUCUUAUCGUGCCAGGAAUUGGGACAAAGAUGAAGAAUACCAAAAUGGCAAAGUGGGCCUGGCCUUCAGUCUAUUGGUACUGCUCCUCAUUCAUUCCUCUGUAAUGUUCGAAAGCCAUAUUUGAGGUGAUGCCAGACAUUUUCUGAGAAUGAUGGUUGUCAGAGAUCCUUGUUGUCUCUUCCAAAAUCUACUAAAACUAUCCUGAGAUGUAAGAAAUUGAAAAAUACACUAAAUCAAAAAAGUGACCAACCGUUUGGUUUCACUUGGGUGAAAACAGUUGGUCACAGGGUGAUACCAAUCAACAAUUAACACUUAAUUGUUGGUUGUUUUCUUUAGGAUUAGCACUACACUAGAUGCUGUGGAGGAUUUUCAAGCCUCUUAAGAAGAAGUAAGGGCUAAACUCUGUGGUAUAGGUUUGCAAGUGCUGAGUAAGUUUCAAGGUAAGAAAACUUCAAAUACAGUCAAAAUCCACACCCACACUGUCUGUAACCUUACAGUGUAUUCCUAAUAAGUGCAGUGCUUACCACA